rnacentral:misc_RNA from 1 species
CUCUCUCUCUCUCUCUCUCGCAGAGGGGGAGGAGGAGGACAUUUGUUGCAUCUUCCUCUCUUGGCUGAACUGGAUUAUAAUAUAGCAUAUCGACCACCAUGUUUCACCGCCGGAGCAAUUCCCAUCGGGAUCAGGAGGAUGAUUCACUGCGACAUGAGUCUAAGGUCAAUGAGCUAAGGAAUGCAAUUGGGCCAAUAACAGGACGCAGUUUACAAUAUUGCACUGAUGCAUGUUUGAGAAGAUAUCUGGAAGCUCGUAGCUGGAAUGUGGACAAAGCGAAGAAAAUGCUGGAGGAGACACUUAAAUGGAGAUCGACUUAUAAGCCUGA